GGAGAGUUUGAUCCUGGCUCAGGAUGAACGCUAGCUACAGGCUUAACACAUGCAAGUCGAGGGGCAUUGGGGGUGUGGCAACACACCUGCCGGCGACCGGCGCACGGGUGAGUAACACGUAUCCAACCUGCCAUGAACUCCGGGAUAGCCCUCUGAAAGGAGGAUUAAUACCGGAUGUGACCUGUGGGGGACAUCCCCCGUCGGUUAAAGAUUCAUCGGUUCAUGAUGGGGAUGCGUCUGAUUAGCUUGUUGGCGGGGUAACGGCCCACCAAGGCACCGAUCAGUAGGGGUUCUGAGAGGAAGGUCCCCCACAUAGGAACUGAGACACGGUCCUAACUCCUACGGGAGGCAGCAGUGAGGAAUAUUGGUCAAUGGGCGUAAGCCUGAACCAGCCAAGUAGCGUGAGGGACGACGGCCCUACGGGUUGUAAACCUCUUUUAUGCGGGAAUAACGGGAGUCACGUGUGACUCUGUGCAUGUACCGCAUGAAUAAGCAUCGGCUAAUUCCGUGCCAGCAGCCGCGGUAAUACGGAAGAUGCGAGCGUUAUCCGGAUUUAUUGGGUUUAAAGGGAGCGUAGGCGGGCGCUUAAGCCUGCGGUCAAAUGUCAGCGCCCAACGCUGGCCUGCCGUGGGAACUGGGUACCUUGAAUGUGCACAAGGAAGGUGGAAUUCGUGGUGUAGCGGUGAAAUGCUUAGAUAUCACGAAGAACUCCGAUUGCGAAGGCAGCCUUCUGGGGCAUGAUUGACGCUGAGGCUCGAAAGUGCGGGUAUCGAACAGGAUUAGAUACCCUGGUAGUCCGCACGGUAAACGAUGGAUGCCCGCUGUAUGCGAUACACUGUAUGCGGCCAAGAGAAAUCGUUAAGCAUCCCACCUGGGGAGUACGCCGGCAACGGUGAAACUCAAAGGAAUUGACGGGGGCCCGCACAAGCGGAGGAACAUGUGGUUUAAUUCGAUGAUACGCGAGGAACCUUACCCGGGCUUGAACUGCAGCUGAACGAUCCAGAGAUGGUGAGGCCCUUCGGGCCAGCUGUGGAGGUGCUGCAUGGUUGUCGUCAGCUCGUGCCGUGAGGUGUCGGCUUAAGUGCCAUAACGAGCGCAACCCCUUCCGUCAGUUGCCAUCACGCAAUGGUGGGCACUCUGGCGGUACUGCCACCGUAAGGUGCGAGGAAGGUGGGGAUGACGUCAAAUCAGCACGGCCCUUACGUCCGGGGCUACACACGUGUUACAAUGGGUGGUACAGAGAGUCGGCCGUGUGCAAACCCGGUCCAAUCAAUAAAGCCAUCCUCAGUUCGGAUUGGGGUCUGCAACCCGACCCCAUGAAGCUGGAUUCGCUAGUAAUCGCGCAUCAGCCAUGGCGCGGUGAAUACGUUCCCGGGCCUUGUACACACCGCCCGUCAAGCCAUGAAAGUCUGGGGCGCCUGAAGUUCGUGACCGUAAGGAGCGACCUAGGGCGAAACAGGUAAUUGGGGCUAAGUCGUAACAAGGUAGCCGUA
rnacentral:rRNA from 1 species